AAAAACAAAACAAACGCAAACGAACGUUUCGCGUUCGCUGCCUAGAUAGGUAGCCGUCGGCCCGCACUUUUCCUGCGAGGGCGGUCACCGGCGUCAUGAAAGCAGGAGUAGUGUUACUAAGCGCCUAGUAAGUAACGCGAAAAUAAUAGGCUAGCGACAUCCUGAGCCUGUCGGAGGGCGCAGGAAAGGGCGAAUCACCAAAUCACCGACUGCACUCGGAGAAGCCCUGAUCAGCAUGCCUUCGGACGGUGGGUUCAACUCCCCCCGCCUCCACCA
rnacentral:tmRNA from 1 species